rnacentral:rRNA from 1 species
ACGGAGGGUGCAAGCGUUGUUCGGAAUCACUGGGCGCAAAGGGCGCGUAGGCGGUUUGAUAAGUCAGAUGUGAAAGCCCACGGCUUAACUGUGGAAGUGCAUUUGAAACUGUCAGACUUGAGUAUCAGAGGGGAAAGUGGAAUUCCCGGUGUAGAGGUGAAAGGCGUAGAUAUCGGGAGGAAUACCGGUGGAGAAGGCGACGUUCUAGCUGAAUACUGACUAUGAGGCGGGAAAGUAUGGGGGGGAAACAG